GCAGACACAUUCCAGCCAAUCAGCAGCAGACCCUCCCUCCAGGACCCUCCCACCUCCUGGACAGCAUCCAUUUUACAUUCAUUGUGAAGCUGCAUUCUUAGUGAGCUGUCCAGGAGGUGGGAGGGUCUGGGAGGGAGGGUCUGCUGCUGAUUGGCUGGAAUGUGUCAG